UGAAAGUUGCAGACGCCACCGAGCGCCCGAGACGCGGCCGCUCCCGCCGUGGUGCCGAACGCCGAGUGCCCCGGCCUCGCACCGGCAACAGCGCGGAGCUGCGCCUGCCCCCCGGAUUCUUCUAAGAAAAGGCAGCUGUUUGUUCUUGGGAGAGGAUCACAGAGAAGAAGGUCUGUCAGCAUCCCAUUCAUUUACGCACUGGGUCAAGCGUGACUUGUCUGUGAUGUAAAAGGCCACCUCCCGCUGGCUCUCAGGCAGUCGGUGCCUCCAGCUGAGCCAAGAUCCAGCACGGUGGUCACAGGUGAAACGCAGUUAGUGCACACAGCACUCCUCCUGAACGACUGAAGACACAAGGCAGAACCACAGACAGAUGCAGCGUCUUACCUCUUGUUGUUUGCUUGUUCAAGAAAUUUAACCCUAAGUUUAUUACUGGAAUGUCUGUGUGGUUUCAGCUUUAUAUUGUGGUCGGAGUAUUUGUUCCCACUGUGACUUCCUCACUGAUUAACAAUGCUGCACGCAGAAGGUAAAGCUGGGCAGCUUAAGUGUUCUGACCACCUCUGAGAAGUAGUUUAUGCUGAAGUUGCACAGCUUUAGCCUGAGAUGUUGGUCCCGAGACCAUUCUCAAAAAAAACAAACAGAGUAUCUCAGGUGACUUAAAAAUCCUUAAUAUGUGAACACACCACCAUUUAACUGGGUUUUACGUUAUUGAAGUGGUGCAGAGUUGUAGUUUUCAUUGCUAUGAUGAAUGACCAACAGUGCAGCAUCUCAGAGGUAAACAAUAAAUGUAAUGGCAAAUGUAGCAUCCAAACCCAGAUCAACAAACACUCGCUGCUGGGCCCCUUGGAAAUAAAACAGUCAGCUGCUUUUCACUGCAGUUCCUCAGUCCUGAAGGACGGUAUGCCUCAGACCACGCAGAGGCAAGAGCAGCAAACUCACAUGGGCUGUUUCAACUCGGAGCCUCUGUGGUCAGAGGCUGCGUCCCUUCCACAAUCACUGCACGUAUCCUGAAAUGAAGCCAAACCUUGGGCAACAGUUCCAGAACACAUCAGCCUCGGUCGCAAAGCUGCCUUCGGUAGUUCACAUCUUGUCCUGUGCUACCCUCAAACACCUGCUCUCAGUUUGGUGUUUCUGUUCGCCCACCUUCGUCUGGAUUACUGACAGCUUCUGGCAGCACGCUAUAAAUUAAAUCCCCGAGAAGAUGCAAGUGAAAAAUAAAGCUUUGAAAAGCAGCAGGGACAGAAAAGAACAGGUGUGGCAGUGCAGAAAAGGAACUCCAUCUGGUUUUACUCAUCAGAGCUAGUGUAUCAUGGAGCUAUGCCCUUCUAUUACACUAACAGUAGAGCCAGUGUGCCCGGAAACUCAUUGAUUUCCACAUAUUUUAAAACCAGCAUUGGCAAUUUUGAAGAGUUCUGUAAAUGGCAGAGUCGGUACUCAAGUAAAGAAAAUAAACGCUCAGAAUCAGACAAUGCCAUUUACCAUGAUGCUGUCAGAAAGAAGCUUAAUUUAAUUCAUGGACAGAUUGGGAAAUGUGUUGUUUUGACAUGAUCAACAGGAGAUUUUGAAAUUCUUCCUGCCUAAAGAUAAUUAACAGGAAGCAAAGCAGGAGCUGUGCAUAUACACCUGUCACAAAAAGGAGUGAGCUGGUUCACUCCUAAUCUUAAGUCUUACUCCAGUGAUUGGCAUUUCUGCUAUAUUUAAACUGCUUUUUUUUCUGCUGUUGAAAAAGGAAAUUAUGUUGGCACUAUUUUCAAAGCCAUAGAAAAUACCCAGAAUAAAGGCAGUAUAAAUGCCAGGUAUCUGAAGGAAAUGGCAGACAGUCUUUACUCUUUCAAAGUCAGAGAGUUGUCUGACUUCUUUAAGAUUAAAGAAAACGCAGCAUGGUUUUUUGUUUGCUUUUAAGGUCCCAGUUUCUCUUCCCAGGUUGGAAGCCACUCAGUAUGUCGUGAUUCAAUCGCCAGAAGAUGCUGAAACCAUCCUCUUAUGCUGGCAGCUUCCAUCUCCUCCAUCAUGAGAACAGAAUCCUCAUGUCCAUUUCAAAGUGAACCAAUUCAUUUUCUCAAGUAAUCAGCAAAGCCCAGAAAAUUCAAGUGCAAGUGCUUCAUACAGUUCAGACUGAAUCAGUGGACAAGCCAUGUAAGAAUACGAAUACGAAGCAGAAGAUAACACUGGUCCAUCAAAGUUAAAUGCCUCUCAGUUCAUUAAAGGUGAAAUGGCUGAAAAGUAUCAAUCAGCUCCCCAUCCCAGCAUCCCUGGCUCAAAAUAUUGCUUGUGUGUGGAGAGCCAAGUGCCAUCAUUUCCCAUACAGGAUUAUGCCCCAGUCAUAGAGCCUGUCACAGGUUACCGACAUCUCUUCUGCGUAAGAAACACCAUGAUGAAUCCAUUCUGAAUGAAUGGUCCAGCCUUCUGGACACUGUGACAGCAGCUCCCAGAGAACAGCGUUUUCUCUUCCAAAUGUACAUCAAUAAGGAACAAACAUAUUUUAUUCCUUCCAAUAUUUGUGAGUGAAUAACGGUCAGUAUUUUGGCAGGCUGGCACAAAACCAUCCACCAAAAUGACUGGCUACACCAAUACUGUCCCCUGCCCAGCCCCGGCCCCAUUUCCCUGAUUUACUGGUAUUUUUAAAAUUCAGACUGUGGAUCUGACAGUCCAGUAUAUUGUGCCAAACACCUGUUCCUUCUCUCCUAAAGAUGCUGACUAACAGAGAAGAAAGGGGUGUGUUAUUAAGACAUAUCCAAUAUUGGAGCUCAAUCUUACAACUCAAUGAAAAAAAUUGGAAAGUGUCUUUUUCAAAUUAAUCCUUGAUAAGAACCUACAACUAUUUGAUGUACUACCUCUCUUCUUGCAAAACACUUCAUUUUCAAUAAAGUUCUAAUACCUUUGUACACCUUGAAAUUCCCUCUACUCAGCUAAAGUGCAUCACCUAGAAGCAAUCACAUACACUGCAAGUAGAAAAAUGUCCGGUUGGAGAUGGCUUGGUGAGAAGAGUGCAACUUUGGCUAGCCAAAGCAUAUCAGAAUUUAGUUUAUUGUGUCAUUCUACCAUUUAGCAAGCAGCUAGAUCUGACAGUAUUUGGCACAUACAUAAAGAUUUAGAGUAACCACUUGAUCUUAGGAUGUAUGCUUUCCUGUGAACUCACUGGACUGGUAUCCUGACAGAUGCCAGCAUUUUAACAGUUAACAAUACACCAACACAGCAAGAGGGAUGUAGAUCAGCCUUCUAAUAGCAAAGUCCCCUGGCAAAUUCAUGAAGCAUAAUAAAAUCUAAUCCUUUUAUUUCUGAAUUUAUUAAAGCAGCUUUCAAUUCAUUACAA